GCAGUGAGGACAAGGCUAAGCGGUUCGCUCCUGCUGAGCUGGCUGCUGAGGGGGGGAAGACGGGGUAGUCGUUUACCAGCAGAAACCAGCUAUAGCAGUGCAGCAGCAACAACUAAAGCAGAAAGGAUUUUUGCCACAGAGAACAAGACCUGAAUCCCCCAGCGCAACUGGACUCCACUGCAAUCAAUCUGGUCCAGUUAUGGAAGAGAUGAAAAAAAACACGAGUGCUGGUUAACGAAAAGACACAUGUGGCCAGGUGCUUAUUAUGUACAACAAGAGCAUCUUGCAACCUGUGGGUAAAUGGAAUCUGCUAUUAUUGAUAAUAGUGUCUCCGCUCUACCAAGCUAAGACUGCAGGAUUUCACCCUGUUAAACCAGAAGUGUGAGAAGAAGUACUCUGGAAAAAGAGGGUAAACCAGCAGACAUGCGUGAUGACAAACCACCCCACUGUACAGAGGCAAGAGCCAUUUCUAUCACGCUAAGAUCAUCAGGACCUCUAUUUGGCUGCAGGACCUGGCUGUAUUCUUUUUUGUGAUCACAGAGCAGCUCCUGGA